GUGGCCAAGGCCGCACCUCAAGCCUCACACAGGAUGGCACUUGAUCUGGGGCCAGCAAAGGACAAGCACCCUCUGCAACCAGGGAGCCACCGCAGCAACACUCAGAUGGACAUGUAAUCGGUACUGAGGGGAGCAAACGCUAUCCAUUAUGGAUCAAAAUACCUAAUUCAAGACUUUGACAACUUUGACUGGUAAAUGCAUUCUCGGUCUUCCUGUGCCCUGGAGUGUUCGCUUAUUAUUCAGUAAUCUUCAAUGGGAGCCGUCACAAGAAUCUGCCUCUCCUGAGCUUAUUUGCAGACCUCGGACACACCUGACCAGGAGAUUCGGUCCACAGAGCACCCUUUCACCCCAUUCUGUUGCACUAGGCACUGAACUACACCUUCCAGAUGCGUGCUUAUUGCCCGCAGAACUAAAAUCGUUGAAUUGAA